UCCUUGCUGGCGAGGUGGGCGCGCCUCACACCUGCCAAUCCAAAAGAGAGUGCACGUAGCCAACAACAGAGACCUGUGAGUUAAAAAAGCUGUGGAGGCAGCCAUGGGAACAGACUAAUAGAGUGUGUCUCGGUGGUGUGACACCCUUCUCAGAUCCCCUGAAUUGAAUUGAAGAAUUGAAGACUGAGCAAGGAUUCUGGAAAUGAAUACUGGUGACCGGAUUGGAGCCAGAAAGGGAGCAAUGAGAUUGCAGUGAAUUUCCAUCCAGUGUUCAUAAGUGAAG